rnacentral:lncRNA from 1 species
GUGAAAUAACAAGACAAGUUAGUCAACAUGAAAUAUUUACUUGACAUGUUAAAUAAUAUAGCUGUUUAUGUAGCAAUUGAUGGAGACUAGUGAUGCGCACAAUAUAGGCUGAUGUGGUCGGCAUGAUAGCGUCAAUGACUCGAUCACAUGUACAGCUAAAUGGUUGUUUAUUGACUUCACACGUCUGUCAAUAACUGAAGAAAUGUGGAUUGAACAACUGGUUCAAAAUAUUAAAGGAAUUAAGUCUUCC